GCCCCUGAAGGAUAACAGCUCAUCCAUCGGUCUUAGGAACCGAAGACUCUUGGUGCAAAUCCAAGCGAGGGCU
rnacentral:tRNA from 1 species